CCGAUAUAAUAUAAUCAUAAUGUGUUAAAGUCUUAGGGGUGAUAAUAUAAUCUGAUAUCCAUGACAUGGGAUCAAAUCCAUUCAAUUCAACAUCAUUCACUACAUGUAUGCAUGUCCUUGCAACUCACUUUACAUUAAAAAAAAAAAAUUAAUAUAUAUAUAUAUAUAUGUAUGUAUAUGAGAACCCCAACUUAAGUGAGAAUAAAUCUAGACCUUUGAAUUGAGGUGAUUCAUCUGACGGCUCUUAUUCAACCUGCCCCAUUAAGGGUAAAUGGGUAAUUUCACAAUUUGAAUGACUACCCUCAAUCUUCUCAAUUUUUAUUUUCACUUUAUCUCUCUUCAUUACAUUUUCUCUCUCCUCCUUCAUAUUCUCUUUGUUCCUGCGAAUUCGUUUUUGGUACUCUCAUUGUUGCAUCGAUCUUGCUUUAAUCUUCUUCGCUCUUCAUAUACCUUGAUUCUGGACAAUUAAGGUGAUAAUCAUAGAAAAAAUUCGUGUGAAGUACACCCUGUCAAUAAUUUCAAGUGAAGUAAACACAAUUCAGUCCGUUAAAGAAAUUCCUCGGAAGAAGAAAAAGCAGAAAAUAGUUUCUGUUAAGGCCGAAGAAGAAAAGGCUGAAAGAGCAAAGAAGAAAAGGUUGAAGAAAGCUACUUGUUAGUGAAACCUCAGUAUUUUACUUGGUAGUGUUGAUUUAGAUACUUGGCGGUGUUGAUUUGGCUUUCUAGGUUUAGGGAAGUAGAGAAAGAAUGAUUUUGUCAACCUGUAAGUAGUUUAGUAGUGUUGAAUUGAAUCGAAAUUAGAUACUUAGUUUGAAUCGAAAUUAGAUCUUUGUUAGUCUUUGAAUGAUGUAAAAAUGGUGGUUAUAUUUGAAUCGAAAUUGGAUAUUUUGUGGUGAA